rnacentral:rRNA from 1 species
ACACGUAGGUAACCUGCCCAUGUGCCCGGGAUAACUUCUGGAAACGGAUGCUAAAACCGGAUAGGUAGCAGACAAGCAUUUGACUGCUAUUAAAGUGGCUAAGGCCAUGAACAUGGAUGGACCUGCGGUGCAUUAGCUAGUGGGUGAGGUAACGGCCCACCAAGGCGACGAUGCAUAGCCGGCCUGAGAGGGCGGACGGCCACAUUGGGACUGAGACACGGCCCAAACUCCUACGGGAGGCAGCAUG